rnacentral:rRNA from 1 species
AUGCAAGUAGAACGCUGAAGGAGGAGCUUGCUCUCUCUGGAUGAGUUGCGAACGGGUGAGUAACGCGUAGGUAACCUGCCUGGUAGCGGGGGAUAACUAUUGGAAACGAUAGCUAAUACCGCAUAACAGUAGAUGUUGCAUGACAUUUGCUUAAAAGGUGCAAUUGCAUCACUACCAGAUGGACCUGCGUUGUAUUAGCUAGUUGGUGGGGUAACGGCUCACCAAGGCGACGAUACAUAGCCGACCUGAGAGGGUGAUCGGCCACACUGGGACUGAGACACGGCCCAAACUCCUACGGGAGGCAGCAGUAGGGAAUCUUCGGCAAUGGACGGAAGUCUGACCGAGCAACGCCGCGUGAGUGAAGAAGGUUUUCGGAUCGUAAAGCUCUGUUGUAAGAGAAGAACGAGUGUGAGAGUGGAAAGUUCACACUGUGACGGUAUCUUACCAGAAAGGGACGGCUAACUACGUGCCAGCAGCCGCGGUAAUACGUAGGUCCCGAGCGUUGUCCGGAUUUAUUGGGCGUAAAGCGAGCGCAGGCGGUUAGAUAAGUCUGAAGUUAAAGGCUGUGGCUUAACCAUAGUACGCUUUGGAAACUGUUUAACUUGAGUGCAAGAGGGGAGAGUGGAAUUCCAUGUGUAGCGGUGAAAUGCGUAGAUAUAUGGAGGAACACCGGUGGCGAAAGCGGCUCUCUGGCUUGUAACUGACGCUGAGGCUCGAAAGCGUGGGGAGCAAACAGGAUUAGAUACCCUGGUAGUCCACGCCGUAAACGAUGAGUGCUAGGUGUUAGACCCUUUCCGGGGUUUAGUGCCGUAGCUAACGCAUUAAGCACUCCGCCUGGGGAGUACGACCGCAAGGUUGAAACUCAAAGGAAUUGACGGGGGCCCGCACAAGCGG